GUGACGAUGCGACGCCGCGUGAGCGAAGAAGGCCUUAGGGUUGUAAAGCUCUGUCGAGGGUUAUGAAAUAUAGAUGGGUUAAUACCCCAUUUAUUUGACAAAAGCCCAAAAGGAAGCCACGGCUAACUCUGUGCCAGCAGCCGCGGUAAUACAGAGGUGGCGAGCGUUGUUCGGUAUUAUUGGGCGUAAAGAGCACGUAGGUGGUUUUGUAAGUCAGGUGUGAAAGCCUUCUGUUCAAAGGAAGAACGGCAUCUGAAACUGCAGAUCUUGAGUGUAGGAGGGGAGAGUGGAACUUCUGGUGGAGCGGUGAAAUGCGUAGAUAUCAGAAGGAACGUCGGCGGCGAAAGCGACUCUCUGGCCUAUUACUGACACUGAGGUGCGAAAGUUAGGGGAGCAAACGGGAUUAGAUACCCCGGUAGUCCUAACCGUAAACGAU
rnacentral:rRNA from 1 species